AAGUUGCAAAGUCAUACCUUUCUGCUCUUGUCAGACAAUUAAGGGGUCUUUGAAUACUUCAGCUCUAAUAAUUUCCUUCCUAACAUACAUAUUGCAGUGCUUAUCUAAUUUUAAAUAUCCUUUUGUUUCAACACCUAAUUUUCUAUUUUGAUCUAUCUGUAUGUUUACAAUAUAUUUUGCUCUGUGUUCAUUCUUUGAUUUCAGAACUUCAAUCUUUCUGAAGCGUGUUUUCAGUUUCGUUUGAGUUUCUUUAGUGGAAUUCUGCUGGUGGUGUUUUGUUUUUUGUCUCUAAAUAUGUUAUUUAGCCAUAGGUUGAUGAAUGUUUUUCUUGGUUGAGAAUUUCAGAAUGGCAUUAUUAUUCUUAACAAAUAAUAUUGUUUAUUUUACCUUUCAUGCUUUCAGAUUUCAAUAUGAUUAAAGGUAAUUUGAUUUUUCUAGUGCUAAUUGAAAUAUUUUUCCCUUCCUGAUUGUUUACUAUUUCUCUAGGAGAUAUGUAGAUGUAGGUUUAUCUCCAUCGUAGCUUGCUUAGCAUGCAUAGAAGUUUUGAAUAUGUGGAUUAGUGUCUUACAAAAGUCUAGAGAACUUUCAGCCAAAAUACCAUCACAUAUUGUCCCUUCCCUGUUCCCUUCCUCUAUGAGAACACUCACUAAACACAUGCUACACUUUCUCACUGUAUCUUCCAUGUCUCUUCAUGAUUCUGUCCACAUUGUGCCUUUUUUAAAAUUUUCUGUAAUGCAUUCUGAAAUAUUUAUGAACUCUCACCAUGGCCAUGUCUAAUCUGAUGAGUUCAUUUUUGAGUUUUUAAUUUAAAAUACUAUAUAUAAACUACUUUUCAAAUUUACUACAUCAAUUUUUUAGUCUCCUAAAAAUAUAUUCAUUUUUUUUUAAUUUUUUGAAAGCAAAUGUGCUUUAUAAUCUAACAGUGAUAUUUCUACUAAUGAACCUUUGUGGAUCUGUUUGUACUCUUUUUCUGCUUUCCUUUCAAAUGGUGGAAUAUCAUUUCCUUGCGUACUUAGAUGCCUUUGAAUGACAAAGAUUUAUUUUUCUCUGAAAAUUAUUAUUGUGCACUUUUGCAUAUUAGAAGAAAAUUUGCCAAAGAGAAUUUGAAUUUUUUGUGAGUCUACUAAAGGCACCACCAUUCUGGGACCACAUUAUAUUAAUUCUUGGCCUAAAGGUGUUUGGACGUAUGUUUGGACAGCACAUUUAAACAAUUUUUAAAUUAAUUGCUGUAAAUCAUUAAUGAUUGAGUUGCUUUAAAUCUGUCCAAUCUCAAGUCAUUUUUAUUUGCCAUUUCCAGGGAAUGUGAAAUGAGACUAAUUUACCUCUGAUUCUUCUUUAGACUGAGGAUAUAAAUUUUGGUUCUAGCUUUAGGGAAGAGCUCCUGUGUGAUGCCCUAUCUUGGGAAACACUAUGUAUUUCUUUACUGUCCUAUGUGAUGUAUGACAGUAGGAAUCUGCAGUCAUUCAUUUUGCUACAUGUCCGUAGGGCAAAAUCAGUUUCAGUGUUUAGGUGUAUUUUGUCUGCUCCCUGCAUUCCCAUGGUUUUGACCUUAUAUUUUACUUUUUUUUUGUGAACGUACCAAUGCUUCAAUUUUUUUCCAGUAAUAUAAUCAACUAUACUAUAAGAGAAAAAUUUUGAUAAAACACAAAUUUCAUGUUUUCCUACUCUAAUUGGCUUUUACGUAAAAAUACAGGUAAAAUUUAUUUGUGCUUUUUUGCUAUUAUUUUUUGCUAUUCUCUGUUUGUCUAUGUCUUCACCACAUAGACACAAUUAGGGAAUUUUGUACACUCUUGUGCCAACUGCUUUGAUAGGAACAAAAUGUAUUUCUCGAACUCCUAGGUAUAAAACUCAAGUAUCCAUGAUUGAAAUUCUUUUUUGCUCACUUCUAUUAUGUUUCCAGUCUCAAUAGAAAUCGAUGCCAAUCCAGAAAUACAAGCAUUAUUCUAAUACUUCUCACACAUUACUGCAGGAGUGAGGACACAGCGAAAGUGAGACAAGGAAAAGAGAACAAAAUAAAACAGGAAAGAUAGAAAAGCCAAUACCACACGUGUUAAGAGUUUCAAGGAAAAUAUGUUGGGAGUUCCUCGCAUAGAGAAUGUCACAAAGACAUGUUUUCAAUAGUAGUGCUAUCCCUAGGGCAGAGAAGACCCAGAGAAAGCCCAAGUGGCUGCUGGAACACAGUCAGACACCGUGCCACCUGUCCACACUCCUUGGCUCUGCCAUCAUGCUGAAGAUCGCUUUAAAGGACUGGCUUCCCUCCCCCCAAAAUGAAUAGAGCACAGACUGAGAAACUGAAUGUGGGAGACAGCAGUGGAUUAUGCUGUUCUCAGGGGUCACCUCAGGUUUGGAAGCAUUCUUUCAAAUUAACCCAUCUCAGGCCAUCUGCAGAGAAGAAAGGUGGUACCUAACUUUUUUCUUGUCAGCAUUUGGUAGGGGUGUUUUAUUGACCAAAUAUGUUCCCACAACCUAGUUUUUUGUGAGUAACUAAAUAUAGUAGAGUUUUAAAUUUUAUCAUCAAAAUCUAUAGACAAUUUUUGAUGAAAAUAGACUCCAUCUCUAUGUCCUGCUUUUCUUCUUCUUAUUAAUUACAUUGCUGUAUAAAAGAACAAGACUUCAGAAUCAAGAAUAUCUUGUCUCUUGGCAUUGAAUUUAUACAAGGUGCUCUUUCUUUAAUGCUGUCUCAAAGGACAUAUUUUUACUCAUUAAAAAGGAAGAUCGGAAUCUAGUUGUAUGCGCUGCUCCAACAUAUUAAUAAUUAAAAUUAGGAGGUAAAUGUGGUCAAAACUAUAGAAAGACUGAGAUGUCAUUUAUAUUGAUUGCUGUAUAGCAUUCUACAAACAGAAAUUGUUAAAUAAGUUUAUAUAAAUAUUUUGUAGCAUUUCAAAUAUUUGAGUGCUUGACGUUUCUCCUCUUCUAUAGUUCAGAUUAUCAAUUUGAAGACUUACUCCGCUAGUUAAAAUGUUUUUAGUCUCGUUCGAGUAUUAUAUAAAAGCAAUUUUCAGUUAAAUGUGUUCCGCUUACAUACAACAUUACAAAUUAUUGAGGAUUUAAUUACUUAUUCAUGUUCCUGUAAUAUCUUUAGAAGAUUUUCUUAUUAUUACCUAUCAAUAUAUGUAUGCUUUGUCAAAGAAAAAUCAAACAUAUAUAUCAUUGAAAUUGAAACUUUUUAAAAGUACUUA
rnacentral:lncRNA from 1 species